rnacentral:rRNA from 1 species
AGCGAACGCUGGCGGCAGGCCUAACACAUGCAAGUCGAACGGAUCCUUCGGGAUUAGUGGCGGACGGGUGAGUAACACGUGGGAACGUGCCCUUUGGUUCGGAACAACUCAGGGAAACUUGAGCUAAUACCGGAUGUGCCCUUCGGGGGAAAGAUUUAUCGCCAUUGGAGCGGCCCGCGUCUGAUUAGCUAGUUGGUGAGGUAACGGCCCACCAAGGCGACGAUCAGUAGCUGGUCUGAGAGGAUGAUCAGCCACACUGGGACUGAGACACGGCCCAGACUCCUACGGGAGGCAGCAGUGGGGAAUCUUGCGCAAUGGGCGAAAGCCUGACGCAGCCAGGCCGCGUGAAUGAUGAAGGUCUUAGGAUUGUAAAAUUCUUUCAGCGGGGACGAUAAUGACGGUACCCGCAGAAGAAGCUCCGGCUAACUUCGU